rnacentral:rRNA from 1 species
UUUUAUAUGGGCUAAAGAAAUGACGGGUACCUAAUGAUUAACCCAGGGCAAAUUCGUGCCCGCCAGCGCGGUUAAUAGUAGGGGGCCAAGGUUGUUCGGAAUCUAUGGGGGUAAAGGGCAGGUUGGGGGGGUAUUCAAUUCAGAUGUAAAAUUCAGGGGUUCACCCCGUGAAUGCCUUUGGAAACUGUGUUUCUUGAGUGAGGGAGAGGCAGGCGGAAUUCUUAGGGUAGCGGUGAAAUGCGUAGAUAUUAGGAGGAACACCAGUGGCGAAGGCGGCAUGCUGGACAUCAACUGACGUGGAUGCGGGAAAGCGCGGGGAGCAACCAGGAUUAGAUACCCGGUUGUUCCGCCCCUUAAAGAAUGAUUAUUAGUUUUGGGGGAUUGACUCCUUCAGUG